rnacentral:rRNA from 1 species
GAUGAACGCUGGCGGCGUGCCUAAUACAUGCAAGUCGAGCGAACAGACGAGGAGCUUGCUCCUCUGACGUUAGCGGCGGACGGGUGAGUAACACGUGGAUAACCUACCUAUAAGACUGGGAUAACUUCGGGAAACCGGAGCUAAUACCGGAUAAUAUCUUGAACCGCAUGGUUCAAUAGUGAAAGACGGUUUUGCUGUCACUUAUAGAUGGAUCCGCGCCGCAUUAGCUAGUUGGUAAGGUAACGGCUUACCAAGGCAACGAUGCGUAGCCGACCUGAGAGGUGGGUCGGCCACACUGGAACUGAGACACGGUCCAGACUCCUACGGGAGGCAGCAGUAGGGAAUCUUCCGCAAUGGGCGAAAGCCUGACGGAGCAACGCCGCGUGAGUGAUGAAGGUCUUCGGAUCGUAAAACUCUGUUAUUAGGGAAGAACAAAUGUGUAAGUAACUAUGCACGUCUUGACGGUACCUAAUCAGAAAGCCACGGCUAACUACGUG